rnacentral:rRNA from 2 species
GGAUCAGUGGCGAACGGGUGAGUAACACGUGAGCAACCUGCCCCUGACUCUGGGAUAACCACCGGAAACGGUGGCUAAUACCGGAUAUGACUUCCCGCCGCAUGGUGGGGGGUGGAAAGUUUUUCGGUUGGGGAUGGGCUCGCGGCCUAUCAGCUUGUUGGUGGGGUGAUGGCCUACCAAGGCGACGACGGGUAGCCGGCCUGAGAGGGUGACCGGCCACACUGGGACUGAGACACGGCCCAGACUCCUACGGGAGGCAGCAGUGGGGAAUAUUGCGCAAUGGGCGGAAGCCUGACGCAGCGACGCCGCGUGGGGGAUGAAGGCCUUCGGGUUGUAAACCUCUUUCAGCUCCGAAGAAGCGUGAGUGACGGUAGGAGCAGAAGAAGCACCGGCUAACUACGUGCCAGCAGCCGCGGUAAUACGUAGGGUGCGAGCGUUGUCCGGAAUUAUUGGGCGUAAAGAGCUCGUAGGCGGCUCGUCGCGUCUGCUGUGAAAGCCCGGGGCUUAACCCUGGGUCUGCAGUGGGUACGGGCGAGCUAGAGUGCGGUAGGGGAGACUGGAAUUCCUGGUGUAGCGGUGAAAUGCGCAGAUAUCAGGAGGAACACCGGUGGCGAAGGCGGGUCUCUGGGCCGUAACUGACGCUGAGGAGCGAAAGCAUGGGUAGCGAACAGGAUUAGAUACCCUGGUAGUCCAUGCCGUA